GGCUGUAGCUUGAAGACAUAAGCCUCAGUCCCAUCUCUGAGCACCCCUUCAUCGCACAGGAGCCCCCUGCUCCUUUCUGCUCCCAAACAGGAUGCCUCAAUCCACCGCAGACUGCUCCGGCACCCCCCAAAUGCCCUCAUCAGUUGGGUAC